rnacentral:lncRNA from 1 species
GUUUCACUCAUAAGUGAUCAUAUAACAAUUCUUUCAUAUAUAUUUUUCUCCCUCAUGACUUUUGGUACAGCAUUCCCCCUAGACUAUAACUAACAACAAUAUGUGACAAAGAUCCAUGUAUGAAUGCUUAAUUUGACAUGAAUUGGAGUAUGACCAAACGCACACAUGUGUAAAGUGUGUUUUUUUUCCUUCUUUUUUUCUUAUGUUUGAUGCACGAGUUUUGUAGAGUUUCAUACAUAUAGUAUGAAAUUGACUAUAUUAUUUCUUGUCACCUUAUUUAACAACUAAAUGAAUGUUACGAAAAAUUGCUACGUGAUCAAAGUCAUUAAAAUUUGAGUCGUCAUAAAAACUUUAGUUUCUCCCCGUUUAUUUACCAAAGAGAUUUGAUCCUAAAUCAUGUCUCUAACUCGUUUUUCUUUUUCCCUUGUAUUGAAAUAAAUGUUUUUCACAAGUAUUUCAUUUUUUAUUUUGUGAUUUCAUCGUCUUAGUGUGACGUUGGUUUGUUCGUUGUCUUCGUAAGGAGUUGUUUGUCUUUUUUGUUUCGUUUAGAUAUUUGUUCGGUUAGUGCAGAUCCAAUCAAUGACAUUGAUGUCGUCCACAUUGUAGAUCCGGAAACUUGAAUAUAGUCAUAUGUAUUCAUUCUUUUUAUUUUUAGCGAAUUUGCAUUAUAUCGAUGUACUUUAUCAAUUUGAAUGA